AUUGAACGCUGGCGGCAGGCCUAACACAUGCAAGUCGAACGAGUGGCGGACGGGUGAGCAAUGUCUGGGAAACUGCCUGAUGGAGGGGGAUAACUACUGGAAACGGUAGCUAAUACCGCAUACCAUCGGAUGUGCCCAGAUGGGAUUAGCGAGUAGGUGGUGUAAAGGCUCACCUAGGCGACGAUCUCUAGCUGGUCUGAGAGGAUGACCAGCCACACGGGAAAUGAGACAAGGUCCAGACUCCGACGUGAGGCAGCAGUGGGGAAUAUUGCACAAUGGGCGCAAGCCUGAUGCAGCCAUGCCGCGUGUAUGAAGAAGGCCUUCGGGUUGUAAAGUACUUUCAGCGGGGAGGCGUUACCCGCAGAAGAAGCACCGGCUAACUCCGUGCCAGCAGCCGCGGUAAUUC
rnacentral:rRNA from 1 species